CCCAAACCUAAACCCGUGCGAGUGAAAGCUGAAGAAAAUGAGCUCGUCUUGUGAGCAUUGCGAGCUUGGAAAUUUCCACUUGAUUCAUCAUCUAGUCGACAAUGGCCGCAACAAAUUCUGCCAUCGAGAAGCGCACAUUGAAAGCGGUAAUCACUCGUGGGUCUUCCCAUUCCAACGAUUAAUUCUUAUUUUAUAAUGCCUGCGUAGGAAUCAGAAGCUUUGGGAUUAAUGGACCCAUGAAGUGAUUGUCUGUGGUCGAAUUGGGUACCGAUGCGCUCAACGUCCUCAGGCGCAAGACUUCAGGUCAACGAUGAGGGUUGCUGAUCUUCGAAGUGAAUGUGUGGUACAUUCUGGCUGGGAAUAGAGGGGGGUUGAGUGUUUUCUGAGAAUUGGUUUAGGAUGAUGCUGUGCUUGUUAGCUGAUUGUAUCAACUUACCAUUUUCUUGUUUCGUCUUCACGUUUUCUGCGUCGAACGGGUUCUACGGGUGCUGAUGGGAUUCUUAGUGUGUGUUUGUAUGUACUACGUUAUGCUCGAGAUGAAGAAGCUGCAAUGCGGAGACUUGACUUGCGGAGAUUCAUUCAACGUCCUCACAGUACAGGUGCUUGUUGCCGGGGCAUGCGGUGAGUCCACCAUUGAUCUAUUGGAGUUCAUGCUAUAUUUUCUGGAGAUCUUUGAUUCGUCAUCAUCAAUGGGUCCUUUACCUGAUCCACUUUAAGUUCGUUUAUUCUCACUUCAUACGAUCAAUUUUGAGUUGCUGGGAUUUUAAUGAAAUUGGUUGCUUGCUAUCCAUGGUAUACAUUGUUUAGGGUUAAUGUGCAUUUCAUUGCUGAAGGUAUCAAUUUGUAUUUCCGACGAACGGCCACAAUGUAUUUUGUAAACCUAUAGUUUUUUAGCCAACUCGUAAUAUAUCACAGUUCAUCUUCCUUUUAAAAUGAUAUCAAUUUUAUAUUGAUGAACUCCUCAAUGUUUCAGGUUUCAAUUGGAUUGCAUUGUAUCCUUUGUAAUAUUCUUUGAGAGAAUGCAGCUUAAUCAGUCUCUUAGCCUCCACUCAUCAUUUCACGGGGAGUAAAAUUCUGAUAAGCUGCGAUUUGGGUGCAGGUGCCACGCCAGUGUUCACAAAUACGUCCUUGCAAGUAUGUGUGAUAAAAGUGAUCGUAUGUCAAGCAAGUUCCUCGAUGAGACCCGAUGCCACAGCAUAUGCCGAAUCAUGAUAGGACGCGUUGGACCAAUUCAAUGGUGCGGGGCAUCCUGCAAUCAAAUCAUUUAGCUCAUACCUCGGUUCCGAUUAAGCUUGCGCAUAAAAUCCGUUUUUGUUUUUGCUUUUGUUUGUUUGUGUUGUUUGUUUGUUUGUUCUUUUUCUUCUUCUUCUUUUAUUUUUAUAUUUUUAUAUUUUUUUUGUGCUACAGUGAUUGAGUUAUGAUCUCCUUCAUGACAUAUUAGAAUUUACAAAGUGAGGUAUUUCCAUGCGAUGUACUCCGCUGUGCUAACAGUGGGGUAGUGCAUCCCAGGGCGCGUGGUAUCAAGUGCCUAGGAAAUGAAUUGUAGAUUCAUACUUUGCAGGUGCAACGUGGUUCUGCGUCAAGAAUAUAGCCGUUUUUUCGCCAUCCAGUUUAGGAUCGUGUUUGCAUUCCUGAGUAGCAGAAUUCUGUUCACGUCAUUUAUAAGUGCAUUUCUCAAGCAGGAUGUGUACACAGAAUUGACAUAUUUUGAGUUCUGUGUUUUAUGAAAUCACAAUGUCAUCCCUUUUCAUGCUAUUUGAAGUACUAGUAAGUGGCAUCUUGCUGGCGCUGUAUCUCACCUGGGUAAUGCAGUGGAUGCGACUGCUUCACAAGAGACUUCCUAUUUUCUGGAGCAACUGUGACAUGUCUCGACAACGCAUUGAACCUCAGGCAGCUUCAUCUGUCAACUCACUUGGGGAGCUCAUGUUUCGAAGUCGGUGCUUUGCAGUAGUAUGGAUUUCUGGAUAGAAGUUGAAGUAAGCCGUUCCACCCAAUUGGGUGUCAGCAUGCAAUCCCUUCAACUAUGUAAAAAACUAAAACUAAGGUAAACCCAAACCUUGCAUUCAUGUGGUUGUGUUUCAGAUUUUGAACAACAUGCUUGGAACUGAGUAAAAUAUCCAAAAGAUGAAUGCAGAACUGUCACGUCUAUAACCGCUGAAGGUUGUGGGCAGUCCACAUCGUUGCUUUGGACAGUAACAAGGUCAAACCAAUGCCUUCAAGAUGUAAUUCACUCCCUCUACUUCCUAAACCACUACCGAAAAACUCUCCUACAAAAUUCCAGAAUUAAUUUUCUAGGCGCCAAACAGUGAGGAUUUCUGAAAUCAAGAUGCCAGGACACAUUAUUAUGUCCACAAUUUUCGGCAUUGGGGAGGCCAGCAUUGCAUUAUCAAAUGCUCAGCAUUUUAAUCAAAAACACUGUCACAACUUUAAGCUACAAUCAUCAAAGACACUGAUUCACAAGAGAAAAUGAGCAAUUUGUUGGGCCAUCUCAAUGGCACCAAGAAAUGGGUGACAGCCCCUUCAAUACAUUCACCAACUUUCGCCCAUUUGGGUUUCUCAGACGAGCAGCCUCUUGAACUAAAACUCCGAGCCCUAGACUGCAGCUUCCAUCCUCUGCAAACUUUACAAACCUUGGUGUUUCUCCACACACACUGCUGAAUCGUUCCAGUUGUGGGCUAGUGAGGAAUGAAUACUCAGCACAAUGGAGUUCUCACCAGAAGAAGAUCUCUUGCCAGUGUGACACUCCAACAAUCCCAGAUAUUUUAUCAGUGGAGCAGGUGCAAGUAGGAUAGCAUUCCACUCACUGACAACCAACUCCUAACAUGGACUGCUUGUCAACGGCAAAGAAAGAAACAAAGAGAGAAAGAUCAGGUGGCUUCAUAACAGUGGGGGUGGUGGAGUUGAGUCUUGUUUUUUUCUUGUUUAAUAUUUUUUUUGUUGUGUUUUUAUUUUCGUUGAAGAUUUUAGGGUUAGGGUAGCUGAGAAGCUGAGAAUGAUCUACCAAGAGUGUACUUGGGGACAUCUAGCUUAUACAAUAGUGGGGUAAGUGGAGGGCAAAUUAGCCAGGGAAAUGUACCUACCCAUGGCUAUUGAUUCCCUGUUUUUUUAUUUUGUACUCACAAUGUGAUGGAUGGCCUCUUCCCUGGUUCCCAAAAGAGGGAGGGGCUACAAGCCAAAGCAUUUUGUUUUGGAAGGGUUUUCAAUCAUUAACAAUUGGGGUAUAUAUGCCAAGAUGGAACAGCUACUUGGGUUGUUUAGUACACACACCCACAUAUAUAUAUAUAUAUAUAUUACUCCA